UCUGGUGGCGAUAGCGAAGAGGUCACACCCGUUCCCAUGCCGAACACGGAAGUUAAGCUCUUCAGCGCCGAUGGUAGUUGGGGGUUUCCCCCUGUGAGAGUAGGACGUUGCCAGGC
rfam:Bacillus litoralis strain C44 Scaffold21, whole genome shotgun sequence.